AGUUGGCCGGUGCUUCUUCUGUACCUACCGUCACUUGCGCUUCGUCGGUACUGAAAGAGGUUACAACCGAAGGCCGUCAUCCCUCACGCGGCGUUGCUGGAUCAGGCUUCCGCCCAUUGUCCAAUAUUCCCCA
rnacentral:rRNA from 1 species